rnacentral:misc_RNA from 1 species
GAAAUGCGAUAAGUAAUGCGAAUUGCAGAUUUCAGUGAAACAUCGAAUCUUUGAACGCACAUUGCGCCCGCCAGUACUCUGGCGGGCAUGCCUGUUCGAGCGUCAUUUCGACCAUCGAGCCCCCGGGCUCGCGUUGGGGAUCUGCGGCCGCGCGCAGGCCCCGAAAACCAGUGGCGGGCUCGCCGUCACCCCGAGCGUAGUAGCGUCCGUUUCUCGCUCCGGGGCGUGGCGCGGGACCCGGCCGUUAAAGCCCCCAAAGGUUGACCUCGGAUCAGGUAGGAAUACCCGCUGAACUUAA